GUAGGUGGCAAGCGUUGUCCGGAAUUAUUGGGCAUAAAGCGCGCGCAGGCGGUUCUUUAAGUCUGAUGUGAAAGCCCACGGCUCAACCGUGGAGGGUCAUUGGAAACUGGAGAACUUGAGUACAGAAGAGGAAAGCGGAAUUCCACGUGUAGCGGUGAAAUGCGUAGAGAUGUGGAGGAACACCAGUGGCGAAGGCGGCUUUCUGGUCUGUAACUGACGCUGAGGCGCGAAAGCGUGGGGGAGCAAACAGGAUUAGAUACCCUGGUAGUCCACGCCGUAAACGAUGAGUGCUAAGUGUUAGGGGGUUUCCGCCCCUUAGUGCUGCAGCUAACGCAUUAAGCACUCCGCCUGGGAGUACGGCCGCAAGGCUG
rnacentral:rRNA from 1 species